CUUAAAAAAGGAAGCUGAGGCUGAGGGAAAGCUAUAUCCCAGCCUGAAGGACUUCCUGAGUGGCCCACCCCCACCUUAUAUUUGUCCAGUGGUGGCCCUGGAGGGUGGUACUAUGUGGGGGCCCGAAGGAAAAACAGGAAAAGUGACAGGUGGAAUUGUCAACUUACAGGAGAAUCCUCCAUCAUCGACAUCUGCUCCAGCCACAGUGGAGGCAGACACAGGAGUAGUGCAGUCACAAUCAGGGGCACCUGCACAGAAAGCAAUGCAGUCUCAAUCAGCGGCAGCUGCAUCAGAGCCCAGAUAGAGCUACAGAAGAAGCUCAACCUGUGGCGUCUACAAGUACCGGACAGGUGACAUUGCAACAGCCCAGCCAGGAAAAUCCAUCCCAGGAGGUCUGGACUUCAGAGGAAGACUCACCUUCAAUGCAGUAUCAGAAGGCGCCAUCAAAGGCGACCCGAAAAACUACUCAGAGGUCAACGGUUGAUGAUUCUGAGAGGGAACAGUGGCAAGGCCACGUUUUCGGAAAAGAAUCUGACAAUCGGGAGGCCGUGAUUCAGCUGGAACGCCUCCUGACAAAAUUAGAGGAGGAAGGCGUGGCAACACCACGUAGCGUGGCACAAACACUCUAUGCCUUGGAAAAGGACUUGGCGGCCUCAGUAGAAAGCAACACACGAAAAUCCAGAGAAGUGUCAAACCUGCAAAGGGGGGGAUUUGCCCCAAAGUUUCAGACUCCCACAGGAAGGACGACCCUUCGCUCUGGGAGGGUUCUGGAGGAACCAAGAGAUAAAAGACCGUCCAUCUUUGAGAAGAACCAGAGGAAGACGGUUGCAUUGCCAACUGAAGAAGGGCAGGGUGACACAGAGGAGGAAUUAUCCCUCACAAUGCCUUUAUUGAAGGGAGGAAGGGGUGAACCAGUCUACCACCCCUACAAUAUCAGAGAUCUUGAGGCUCUGGUGAAGCAGCUGCCCCCAAUCACGGAGGGAGGAGCCGCUUGGUUGAGGAGACUAGGAAGUCUUA
ensembl:lncRNA